GCCUAACACAAUCAGGAACUGCAGUAGGGAAAAUUGGCGGUACACUGCCUCUGGAGCCAACCCAGGAUGAAACACUUGUUUCUCCUCAAGUCACAAGACCGAGAGGCCCAGUUGUUAGGGGUCGCAGAAGGAGAUCAGUUCGUGGUGGUCAGGGCCGUUGUCGGCGUUGGACUGGUUCCAGAAGCCACUCCGAUGAUGAUGUACAACCCAGCAUCACUUUCGACCAGGAACUCCUCAUCCAUUUGGUGGAGUAGAGACCGGGACUGUGGGACCAGUCCCAGCGGCUUCACGCAGACCACAUAGCUACCCGGUGCAUGUGGACUGAGAUCUUUCGAGCUCUUCUGGAAAACUGGGACCAAAUAAGUGAACGUGAAAAACAGGCUUGUGG